AGAACGAACGCUGGCGGCGUGGAUAAGACAUGCAAGUCGAACGGGACAGUCUUGUGGCAAUAUGAGGCUGUUCAGUGGCGAACGGGUGCGUAACACGUGGGUCACAUUCCGGGAAGCGAGAAAUAGCCCAGGGAAACUUGGAUUAAUAUCUCAUGUGGUCGCAAGACUAAAGGCGCAAGCCGCUUCCUGAUUGGCCCGCGGCCUAUCAGCUUGUUGGUGAGGUAAUGGCUCACCAAGGCAGCGACGGGUAGCUGGUCUGAGAGGACGACCAGCCACACUGGAACUGAGACACGGUACCAGACGCCUACGGGUGGCGAGCAGUCGAGAAUCUUUCACAAUGGGGAACCCUGAUGAGUGACGCGCGUGGAGGUUAAGUCUUGGAUUGUAACUCUAGUCAUGCGAGAACAACGCCCGACGAAGGUGUCGAUAGUACCGACGAAGAGGAAGAGACGGCUAAACGUCUAGU
rnacentral:rRNA from 1 species